UCCACCAAUCUAUUCGCUAGAGGAUUGCUGCUCCUCGGCCCUUAACAUCUCUCAAAAUACUGAAUUUGUCUGGGUUACACAAUUUGGAUGUGUAAAACAAGGUGUCAAUUGCACGUCUAGAUUGUAUAAUAAAGAUAAAUUCAGUGUUUCGAGAUAUGUUGAAGAUGAGGAGCAUUCAUCUUCCUAGAGUUACAAUGAAAAUAAUUCACAAAACAUUCAUAAAAGAGGAGAAACCAUUCAUCUUCCAAGAAUAGGACUUUGACUGCACCCCUUAAGCUUAUCGAUCACCAACGAAGUGAAGAUGCACACCAUUUUGCCACCCUAUAUAAUAGUUUGAGUGUUAACCACCUUAGAUAUAUAGUCUAAAAUAUAAAUUUUUAAAAAACAUGUCACCAUAUAAAAAUGACAACUUAAAAUAAAAAACUCUAUAUACAAAAUCAGAAAAUACUAACAAAUAUCUUUACAAAAAUGGUUUUACCAUCUAAACAUGUUUAACAACGCAUUUUGUCGUCUGUUUGUCUUCCACUUAUAUGUAAUUUUUUUUC
rnacentral:lncRNA from 1 species